rnacentral:rRNA from 1 species
AACGAACGCUGGCGGCAUGCCUAACACAUGCAGGUCGAACGAGACCUUCGGGUCUAGUGGCGCACGGGUGCGUAACGCGUGGGAACCUGCCCUUAGGUUCGGAAUAACUCCCCGAAAGGGGUGCUAAUACCGGAUAAUGUCUUCGGACCAAAGAUUUAUCGCCUUUGGAUGGGCCCGCGUUGGAUUAGCUAGUUGGUAGGGUAAAAGCCUACCAAGGCGACGAUCCAUAGCUGGUCUGAGAGGAUGAUCAGCCACACUGGGACUGAGACACGGCCCAGACUCCUACGGGAGGCAGCAGUGGGGAAUAUUGGACAAUGGGCGAAAGCCUGAUCCAGCAAUGCCGCGUGAGUGAUGAAGGCCUUAGGGUUGUAAAGCUCUUUUACCCGGGAUGAUAAUGACAGUACCGGGAGAAUAAGCUCCGGCUAGCUCCGU